rnacentral:rRNA from 1 species
UACGGGAAGCAGCAGUGGGGAAUAUUGCACAAUGGGCGCAAGCCUGAUGCAGCCAUGCCGCGUGUAUGAAGAAGGCCUUCGGGUUGUAAAGUACUUUCAGUCGUGAGGAAGGUGUUAAGGUUAAUAACCUUAGCAAUUGACGUUAGCGACAGAAGAAGCACCGGCUAACUCCGUGCCAGCAGCCGCGGUAAUACGGAGGGUGCGAGCGUUAAUCGGAAUUACUGGGCGUAAAGGGCACGCAGGCGGUUAAUUAAGUUGGAUGUGAAAUCCCCGGGCUUAACCUGGGAAUGGCAUUCAAGACUGGUUAGCUAGAGUCUUGUAGAGGGGGUAGAAUUCCAUGUGUAGCGGUGAAAUGCGUAGAGAUGUGGAGGAAUACCGGUGGCGAAGGCGGCCCCUGGACAAAGACUGACGCUCAUGUGCGAAAGCGUGGGGAGCAAAC